UGGGGAAUUUUGGACAAUGGGGGAAACCCUGAUCCAGCCAUCCCGCGUGUGCGAUGAAGGCCUUCGGGUUGUAAAGCACUUUUGGCAGGAAAGAAACGUCAUGGGUUAAUACCCCGUGAAACUGACGGUACCUGCAGAAUAAGCACCGGCUAACUACGUGCCAGCAGCCGCGGUAAUACGUAGGGUGCAAGCGUUAAUCGGAAUUACUGGGCGUAAAGCGUGCGCAGGCGGUUCGGAAAGAAAGAUGUGAAAUCCCAGAGCUCAACUUUGGAACUGCAUUUUUAACUACCGGGCUAGAGUGUGUCAGAGGGAGGUGGAAUUCCGCGUGUAGCAGUGAAAUGCGUAGAUAUGCGGAGGAACACCGAUGGCGAAGGCAGCCGCCUGGGAUAACACUGACGCUCAUGAACGAAAGCGUGGGGAGCAAACAGG
rnacentral:rRNA from 1 species